rnacentral:rRNA from 1 species
UUACCAGCUUGACAUAACGUAAUUCCCUUCGGGGACAGGUGCUGCAUGGCUGUCGUCAGCUCGUGUCGUGAGAUGUUCGGUUAAGUCCGGCAACGAGCGCAACCCUGUCCGAGUUGCCACCAAAUGGCACUCUCGGAGACUGCCGAUGCAAUCGGAGGAAGGUGGGGAUGACGUCAAGUCCUCAUGGCCCUUAUGCUGGGCUACACACGUGCUACAAUGGGGUACAAGGGGCACCGUGAGGGAAGCAAUCCCAAAACCUCCUCAGUUCGGAUCGCAGUCUGCAACUCGACUGCGUGAAGUCGGAAUCGCUAGUAAUCGUGAUCAGCAUGCACGGUGAAUACGUUCCCGGGCCUUGUACACACCGCCCGUCACACCAUGGGAGUCGNUGUCCGAA